GAUGAACGCUAGCGGCAGGCUUAAUACAUGCAAGUCGAGGGGCAGCAGCUUUGUAGCAAUACAGGGGCUGGCGACCGGCAAACGGGUGCGGAACACGUACGCAACCUUCCUUUAACUGGAAGAUAGCCCACCGAAAGGUGGAUUAAUACUCCAUAACAUAUUGAAGAGGCAUCUCUUUGAUAUUAAAGCUGCGGCGGUUAAAGAUGGGCGUGCGUCUGAUUAGGUAGUUGGCGGGGUAACGGCCCACCAAGCCUUCGAUCAGUAGCUGAUGUGAGAGCAUGAUCAGCCACACGGGCACUGAGACACGGGCCCGACUCCUACGGGAGGCAGCAGUAAGGAAUAUUGGUCAAUGGACGCAAGUCUGAACCAGCCAUGCCGCGUGGAGGAUGAAGGCCCUCUGGGUUGUAAACUUCUUUUCUUUGGGACGAAACCCCUGUUUCUACGGGGACUGACGGUACCAGAGGAAUAAGCACCGGCUAACUCCGUGCCAGCCGCCGCAGUAAAAC
rnacentral:rRNA from 1 species